CUCCUAAGGCUGUACAAAGUUGAUUUCUGUUCGCCCUUGAGCAGAGGCCUUUAUUAGCCUCUGCUGACUGAAGAAAUUGGCCUGCUUAAGGUCCACUGGGAAGGAGUGCGCAAACUGGAAUUGCCGCUUUGGAACCUUUGGACCAAGUCCCAGGCAUUGGUUUGCUGAGGACACAGUGCUUGGUUUACCCACUUGGGGGCUGCAGCUUAUCAUGGCUGGCUUCUACAAAAAACAUUGGACAAAAGGGGAUUCAUGCUCUCACGAAGCCCUCAGAUCAAGGACCCACAUUCCCAGGAGGAAGACAAAUGAUUGUCUAAGUAUUUUCUGCAAGAUAUACUCAUAUUUGUUUCAUCAACGAAUCAGGAAACCUUACAAAUCCACAGUUAAUGGAACAGAUAUAACAACCCCAAACUCUGUUUUCACCAUCCUGGCUCCCCGGUUUCUGUCAGCAGCCUGAACUUCCUAGUUUCUCCUUUUGUUUCCCACGAAGGAACUGGUCUUGUACUCUGGCUGCUUUCUGGGCCUCCUGGUCAAAAAAGAGUUUCAGUCUAAAAGUCUCUGCCUGAACUCAUCAUUGCAGCCAAACUGAAAUACAGAGGAGAAACAACUCGGCAUGUGUGGAUGAGAAUGGCGUCGAGAACUA